GAGAGCGGAGCUAGGGCUGCUGCCGCCUUCUAACUCUCUGGGCACGGGGCGCUGAUGUUCCCUUGGUUUUUUCCAGUCCGCAUUUCUCCUCUGGUCCGUCGCGGGCGCCGGUGGGGAGAUGGUGGGGGACAAGGCUGGCUCGGGCCCCUCGAAGCCCACAAGUGACAGGUGCCCCCGGCAGCGGGAGAAGAAGAAAAAGGAGGAGGCCUGCGAGGGAUUCACUAUCAGAGCCAUGAUGAAAAACAGCGUGGUAAGAGGGCCCCCAUCUGCAGGAUCUCAAAAAGAAAGACCAGCAAAGCCCACCGCAUUUCGCAAGUUUUAUGACAGAGGAGACUUUCCAAUUGCCGUUGAGCAUGAUACAAUAGCAAACAAAAUCGCCUGGAAGGUAGAGAUUGAAAAUCUGGACUAUCAUUACUUUCUGCCUUUGUUCUUUGAUGGGCUUUGUGAAACAAAAUUUCCAUAUGAGUUUUUUGCUCGUCAAGGAUGCCAUGACAUGCUGGAACAUGGUGGAAACAAGAUUCUCCCUGUCGUUCCUCAGCUCAUUAUCCCAAUAAAAAAUGCACUGAACCUUCGUAACCGACGCGUCCUCAUCAGCACACUGAAAAUCCUCCAGCACCUGGUGGCGUCAGCUGACAUGGUGGGGGAGGCCUUGGUGCCUUAUUAUCGGCAAAUUCUCCCAGUCCUAAACAUCUUUAAGCAUAUGAACGGUUGUUCUUUGUGACAGUUUUUUCUUCUCUUGUCACCUCUGAAAUACAACCAGCAAGCCACCAUUCAACAUAAAUCAAACACUCCAUGUCUGAAUUGGAACAGAAACCUUUACAAGAAGAGAUAUUGGAGCUUUGUUCUUGGCAGUUUUAAGCAAAUUGCAAAAGCUUUUCUGUGGUGUAAAUGGCUAAAAGGGAGUGAAAAUGAAUGGACAUAGAAGACUUUGCUUCAAAUUGCUAACAACAUGCAUGGUUAAGCUGAACACGGUGUCGUUACCAGAUAGCUGCACAAGACAAGAUACCAUUUCUGACCUCUCAGUUUCUGUUUCAUGCAAAGGCCAGCACUAUUGCUAUUGGAAGCUGCUUGCCUGAAGAACAGCUGACCUCUUGAUGAUUUGUGAAGAAAUACGGAGUUGAUUUGUCAGAGGGAGGAAUGGUGUUCUGUUUUACUCUACCAGCAUCUUACAGCCUUUUUGUUAUGACGCUUGAAGAAGUUCUCUACUCAAGGAAUUAGGAUUUUGCCUGGGGACCUAAAGUCUGAAUCCAUUGUGGGAUUCUCUGAUCAGAAGAGUGAAGAUUGUGUUCGUAUCCUUAGCUAUUUUUUGAAGCAAAACUUCAUAAGGUAGAUCAGUAGGUAGGCUUUAGUUUUAUUUGUGCAUUUUCAACUUCUGGAAGCAAUACUUUCUGGCUCCACAUGUGGGUCUCUAUCCACAUGAACCUCUGAGCCUGGAGAAGCAGGCUUGUCCUUAACUAAAUGCAGAUGGACUUAGAUGCAGAUGACAGGCACAUGCCUACCUUGGGCUCAUCUCUGUACAUUCUUGUAUUUUCCUGUGCCAUUUCCUUUUAGGAAAAGUACAGAUAAUUGCUUUCCUUAUCAUUAAUAUGGCACUCCUGCGGACUAUAACCUCUUUGGCUUUGGGGAUUUUGAAUUUAU